rnacentral:rRNA from 1 species
AAUGGACGGAAGUCUGAACCAGCCAAGUCGCGUGAAGGACGAAGGUAUUAUGUAUUGUAAACUUCUUUUGCAGGGGAAUAAAGUGAGGCUUGCGAGCUUUAUUGCAUGUACCCUGCGAAUAAGGAUCGGCUAACUCCGUGCCAGCAGCCGCGGUAAUACGGAGGAUCCGAGCGUUAUCCGGAUUUAUUGGGUUUAAAGGGUGCGUAGGCGGAGAUUUAAGUCAGCGGUGAAAGUUUAGGGCUCAACCUUAAAAUUGCCGUUGAAACUGGGUUUCUUGAGUACGGUAGAGGUAGGCGGAAUUUGUGGUGUAGCGGUGAAAUGCUUAGAUAUCACGAAGAACUCCGAUUGCGAAGGCAGCUUACCGGACCGUAACUGACGCUGAGGCACGAAAGUGUGGGGAUCAAA